AUACUGCCAUCAUUCUGUCUAUCCCACCAUACUGCCAUCAUUCCAUACAUCCCUCCCUCCAUCUCUCAGUCCAUUGAGCGUCUCCAUGAUAUCAGGGUCUUCUGUGUGAUGUUCUGUAUGUGCUGAUAUUGUGUAUAUAUAAUAUUAAUUAAUGUAGAUGAACACACACAGAUAAACUACAUGACCAAAAGUAUGUGGACACCUGCUCAUCGAACAUCUCAUUCCAAACUCAUAGGCAUUAAUAUGGAGUUUGUCCCCCCUUUGCUGCUAUAACAGCCUCCACUCUUCUGGGAAGGCUUUCUGCUAGAUGUUGGUACAUUGCUGUUAUAACAGCCUCCACUCUUCUGGGAAGGCUUUCUACUAGAUGUUGGUACAUUGCUGCUGGGACUUGCUUCCAUUCAGCCACAAGAGCAUUAUUGCGGACAGGCACUGAUGUUGGGUGAUUAGACCUGGCUCGCAUUCGCCUUUCCAAUUCAUCCCAAGGUGUUCGAUGGGGUUGAGGUCAGGGCUCUAUGAAGGCCAGUCAAGUUCUUCCACAUUGAUCUCGACAAACCAUUUCUGUAUGGACCUCACUUUGUGGAUGAGGGCAUUGCCAUGCUGAAACAUGAAAGGGCCUUCUCCAACCUGUUGCCACAAAGUUGGAAACACAGAAUCGUCUUGAAUGUCAAUGUCAAGAUUUCCCUUCACAGGAACUAGCCCGAACCAUAAAAAACAGCCCCAGUCCAUUAUUCCUCUUCCACCGAACUUUACAGUUGGCACUGUGCAUUCAGGCAGGUGGUGUUCUCCUGGCACACCCCAAACACAGAUUCAGAUUCACCAAAUGGUGAAGCGUUAUUCAUGACUCCAGAGAACACGUUUCCACUGCUCCAGAGGCCAAUGGUGGUGAGCUUUACACCACUGCAGCUGACACUUGGUAUUGCUCAUGGUGAUCUAAGGCUUGUGUGCUGCUGCUCAGCCAUGGAAACCCAUUGUGUGUGUGCUGUAACCGAGGACAGACAAUUGUUACGCAUUAUGCGCUUCAGCGCUCGGCCCCGUUCUGUGAGCUUGUGUGGCCUAUCACUUUGCAGCUGUGCCGUUGUUGCUCCUAAACUUUUCCACUUCACAAUAAUACUACUUAUAGUGGACCGGAGCAGCUCUAACAGGGCAGACAUUUGACGAACUGACUUGUUGGAAAGGUGGUUUCCUUUGACGGUGCCACAUUGAAAGUCAUUGAGCUCUUCAAUAAGGCCAUUCUACUGCCAAUGUUUGUCUAUGAAGAUUCCAUGGCUGUGUGCUCGAUUGUAUACACCUGUCAGUGACAAGUGUGGCUGAAAUAGAAUCCACUAAUUUGAAAGGGUGUCCACAUACUUGUGUAUAUAUAUUGUGUGUAUAUUUGUAUUGAAUCCAUUUUAGAAUAAGGCUGUAACGUAACAAAAUGUGGAAAAAGUCAAGGGGUCUGAAUUCUUUCUGAAGUCACUAUACAUGUCCCACUGUCCUGCCAGACAUACAGCAUACCCAUUCCAUCUACACCCUAGCCCCUGCACCCUAGCCCCUACACCCUAGCCCCUACUCCCUAGCUCCUACUCCCUAGCCCCUACUCUGUAGCCCUUAAUCCCUAGCCCUUACACCCCUCACUCCCCAUCCCAGGGAGCACCUCUUGUUGGCAGGACAGUGUAAAGAUAUAUUUUUGUUCUAAAUGUUGUCGUACUUCUGUCGUUUGUCUCAGAGUCACUAACAUCUCUCACUAAAAGGGGAACUCCAGAGAUGGGAUCUUUGGUCCAGAAAUGGGUUGUGCCCCAGAAAUGCCCAGCCCAGAAAUGCCCAUCCCAGAAAUGCCCAUCCCAGCUAAACCACUGGCCAAGUUCCAACAUGACUGUACUGCAGAAGCCUUCCAACAAAGCCAGGAUGUAGUGGGUGUAGUGUUUAACUUAUCAGCUGACCACAUCAUAUUAUAUAACCUUCUGAUGUCCCACUGAGCAGUCAAUUAUGUAAUGCAACAUCUGCAAUGUAGUCACCCUUUUCCCUAUAUAGUGGGGCUCCCGAGUGGCGCAGUCGUCUAAAGCAAGAGGCGUCACUACAGUCCCUGGUUCACAUCUGGCCGUGACUGGGAGUCCCAUAGGGCGGCGCACAAUUGGCCCAGCAUCGUCCGGAUUUGGCCGGGGUAGGCUGUCAUUGUAAAUAAGAAUUUGUUCAUAACUGACUGAAAUAAAGGUUAAAUAAGGGUUAAAUAAAAAUGUAAAAUAAAAUAGUGCACUACCCCAUGAGGGUCUGGUUAAAAGUAGUGCACUAUGUAGGGAAUAGGGUGCCAUUUGAGAUGCUGUCUUGGUCAGUUAAAGGGGGAGGGACUUAUGAAGAGGAGGAGGACCUAGAUGGUCUGAGACAUAAUGUUGUCGUUCCAGACUGACUACAUUACAGAUGUACUCCAACCAAACACUUCCUGUGGGCCACAUCUUUGACUGCUCAGUGGGACAUCAGAAGAGUAGCGAGUGAUUUAGCUGGGCUGUUUGACUAACUGGGCCCAGUCCCAAAUGGACCCUUAAACCCUAAAGAGGGUUUAUGCACUUGAGGUGAUCUAAGAGGAUUUGACAGGUAAUGUAUAAUUAAUCUGGUAGUAUCUUCACUUUGCCCUCUCACAUCACCACACGUAGAUAAGGGCAUAAAGUUCAUUUGGGAUUGGGUCCUAGCCUUUAGGGGACUAAAGACUCCUUCACCUGGUGAGCGAUGGCGGCUGACAGAGACAACCUCAGAGAUAUCUUGUUAGCUCCUUGGGUUUGGAAUCAGAAUGACUAAUGAGUAGAGAACUCCCAAACUGUUGAUUUCUGUUAAUAAUAAAGAAGCUGUUUGUUUUCCUCUCUUGCUUGUUUCUGUUUCUUUCCAUUUUGUCUUCUCCUCUUCC
ensembl:lncRNA